UACGUAGGGUGCAAGCGUUGUCCGGAAUUAUUGGGCGUAAAGAGCUCGUAGGCGGUUUUUCGCGUCUGCUGUGAAAACUCGGGGCUUAACUCCGGGCCUGCAGUGGGUACGGGCAGACUAGAGUGCGGUAGGGGAGACUGGAAUUCCUGGUGUAGCGGUGAAAUGCGCAGAUAUCAGGAGGAACACCGGUGGCGAAGGCGGGUCUCUGGGCCGUAACUGACGCUGAGGAGCGAAAGCGUGGGGAGCGAACAGG
rnacentral:rRNA from 1 species